UCAAUUUUGACCAAAUUAGUUGAUUGGAUGAAAUUGCAACAUAUUAUUCAAUUUGGCCUAAUUGUCAAAAUUAAAAGCACUAGAUUAAAUUGCAAUUUGGCAAAAAGGUUUGGAUUUUUUAGUUAUUAAUUUAGGCCAAGGCAGAAUUAUAAUAAAGUCUUGCAUGAUCAAAGAUAAUAAAGCUUGUGCAAUACUGAUCAUAAGCCCAUGCAUGAUCAGUGUGUACGAAUAGAACUAGGGGUGAGCAGUUCUCGGUUUAAACCGAAAAACCGAACUGAGUCAAUUCAGUUUAA
rnacentral:misc_RNA from 1 species